UUAAGUGUUAUUUUUAUUCAAGGUAAAUGAGUUACUAUUAUUAUUAUUAUUACUAUUAUUAUUUUUUCCUGAAAAUGAGUUAUUUAUAUUAGUUAUUAGUUUAAAGAGCAUAUUUAUUAAAACUUACCGCUUCUAGUUCUUAUUAUAUUUUAUUUAUUUAUUUAUUUAUUUUUUGGGGAAGGGAAAUUGAAGAAUCUAUUAAACAAAAGCCAUUGACACAUGAGAAGGGUAUCUGAGAGCUAGGAAGGACUCUCUUCAACCCAAACAACAGAAUCAUUCGAAAUUAAAGCUUUCUUAACCAUCAAGUGACCCAUAAUAUCAUGAUCUGUUUGGCUAUAUUUUCUGCUUUCAGUUUUCAAAAUAUUAUUUUCAAAAUAAAAAAAUAAAUUAUUUUUAUUUGUUUUUGAAAACAAGGCUAUUUAACCAGUGAUAUUUGAAAACAGUUUUCAAAACUCAAAAAACAGAAAACAGAAAAAUAUCAUUUUAAUAUUUUCUAAAUUUUAUUUUUUUUUAAAUUUGUUUUCGAAACUGUUUUUAAAAACUGAUAAUCAAACAGGUAAUUUUUUAUUUUAGAAAUAAUUUUCUGUUCUAUAGAACAAAAAACUGUUUUAAAUUCUAAUGGUCAAUCAGGUCCUUAGUCUCUGGAGGAGAAAACUCACAAGAAACAGAACAAGAGAUACUUAGGUGAUGUUUUAAUAGCAAAGCAAUCCUCAUGGAAACUAAACUGAUUACCAAGAACCAAAUCUACCGCACCUUUACAAUACUAAUUACCAGAACUACGUCAUUGAACCCCAAUUCUCUCGCAAAAGAUAAACAAAGGAUGGAGCCAAAACACCCAUCAGGAAAUAAGAAAAGAUAGGCACAUAUUUUACCUCCGCUAGACUUCAAUUUUAUUUUAAGUUCUCUAAGAGAGAUUUAACAGCAAAAAUAAUAUCUUUGUAACUACCCAUUCUUGUUUAAUCGUUUGUUUUUACUCUUUAAGGAGUCACUGUUUUUUUCACUUUUGCAAUUGAACCUAAAAUAUUAUGGUUAGACUUCACCUCCAUCGCAUUGAAAAUUGCAAUCCGUAAAAUGAACCACUUAUCCCAAUAAAACUUCAAGAAUUUAUGGACCAAGGUAGCAAUUGGUACAAAUAUAUCUUUCUUUCUUUGUUUUUUAUUGUUUGUGUGUUCCUUUGUUUGCUAAAUCAAACUAUAAAUAAAACUAAAUGGAUCUUCCAAAACAUGCAGAGAUAUUUUAUCUUUCAACCCAUGUGCAGAGACCAUAAUGUGAAUAUUCUUUUAACAGCCUGAUGUAGCAUGAACCUUCGCAACUCAAGCAGAGGCGGUAACCGAUAGUAAGCCGUUAUGCCUGAGUAAUGCCUCUGGUGAAGGCUCUCGCCCUCGGAAUGCCACAAAAACC